GAAAGAUGAAAAGAACUUUGAAAAGAGAGUUAAACAGUACGUGAAAUUGUUGAAAGGGAAACGAUUGAAGCCAGUCGUACCUUCGGGUAAUCAGCCUUUCGUGUGCGAUUCUGUGGAGUUUGAGGAGCUAAACACCUUCAUGCUUUGCAUAUUCGUGCUCUUGGGUGUACUUGCUCGUAUGGUUGGUUAACAUCAAUUUUGGUGGUCAUAAAAUGACUGGAGGAAUGUAGCUUCGGUCUCGUAUUGAAGUGUUAUA
rnacentral:rRNA from 1 species